rnacentral:rRNA from 1 species
AAAAGCUUUGCAAGCAAGCGGAUCUCCUUGGCUCUGGCAUCGAUGAAGAACGCAGCGAAAGCGCGAUAAGUAAUGUGAAUUGCAGAAUCCAGUGAAUCAUCGAAUCUUUGAGCGCACAUUGCGCCGCGCCAGCAUUCUGGCGGGCAUGCCUGUUCGAGCGUCAUAU